GGCUUCAUAGCUCAGUUGGUUAGAGCGUCGCACUGGUAUCGUGAGGUCACGGGUUCAAAGUUUCAAACCCCGUUGGAGUCC
rnacentral:tRNA from 1 species